AACGAACGCUGGCGGCAUGCCUAACACAUGCAAGUCGAACGUGAUCCGGAGCUUGCUCCGGUGAAAGUGGCGCACGGGUGAGUAACGCGUGGGAACCUGCCCAGAAGUAGGGAAUAACCGCGGGAAACUGCGGCUAAUACCCUAUACUCCCUUCGGGGGAAAGAUUUAUCGCUUUUGGAUGGGCCCGCGUCGGAUUAGCUAGUUGGUGAGUGAAAGGCGCACCAAGGCGACGCUCCGUAGCUGGUCUGAGAGGAUGAUCAGUCACACUGGGACUGAGACACGGCCCAGACUCCUACAGGAGGCAGCAGUGGGGAAUAGUGGAUAAUGGGCGAAAGCCUGAUCCAGCCAUGCCGCGUGUGUGAAGAAGGUCUUCGGAUUGUAAAGCACUUUAAGUUGGGAGGAAGGGCAGUAAGAUAAUACCUUGCUGUUUUGACGUUACCGACAGAAUAAGCACCGGCUAACUCUGUGCCAGCAGCCGCGGUAACAC
rnacentral:rRNA from 1 species